GGGGUUGUGGCUUUGAGGUAGAGCGCUCGCCUAGCAGGUGUGAGGCACUGGGUUCAAUCCUCAGCACCACA
rnacentral:tRNA from 1 species